rnacentral:rRNA from 1 species
CCUACGGGAGGCAGCAGUGGGGAAUUUUGGACAAUGGGCGCAAGCCUGAUCCAGCAAUGCCGCGUGAGUGAAGAAGGCCUUCGGGUUGUAAAGCUCUUUUGUCAGGGAAGAAACGGUGAGGGCUAAUACCUCUUGCUAAUGACGGUACCUGAAGAAUAAGCACCGGCUAACUACGUGCCAGCAGCCGCGGUAAUACGUAGGGUGCAAGCGUUAAUCGGAAUUACUGGGCGUAAAGCGUGCGCAGGCGGUUUUGUAAGUCUGUCGUGAAAUCCCCGGGCUCAACCUGGGAAUUGCGAUGGAGACUGCAAGGCUAGAAUCUGGCAGAGGGGGGUAGAAUUCCACGUGUAGCAGUGAAAUGCGUAGAGAUGUGGAGGAACACCGAUGGCGAAGGCAGCCCCCUGGGUCAAGAUUGACGCUCAUGCACGAAAGCGUGGGGAGCAAACAGGAUUAGAUACCCUGGUAGUCCACGCCCUAAACGAUGUCUACUAGUUGUCGGGUUUUAAUUAACUUGGUAACGCAGCUAACGCGUGAAGUAGACCGCCUGGGGAGUACGGUCGCAAGAUUAAAACUUAAAUGAAUUGACGG